rnacentral:rRNA from 1 species
UACGUAAGGUGCAAGCGUUAAUCGGAAUUACUGGGCGUAAAGCGUGCGCAGGCGGUUGUGCAAGACCGAUGUGAAAUCCCCGGGCUUAACCUGGGAAUGGCAUUGGUGACUGCACGGCUAGAGUGUGCCAGAGGGGGGUAGAAUUCCACGUGUAGCAGUGAAAUGCGUAGAGAUGUGGAGGAAUACCGAUGGCGAAGGCAGCCCCCUGGGAUAACACUGACGCUCAUGCACGAAAGCGUGGGGAGCAAACAGGAUUAGAAACCCCUGUAGUCC